rnacentral:tRNA from 1 species
GGUCGAGUAACUCAGUUGGUUCAGAGUGCCGCCCUUACAAGGCGGAAGUCCGGGGUUCGAGUCCCUGCUCGACCA